UGCUUUCCCACCUGUGAAACUGAGAACUGUUGAGAUUCAACUGGUGGAACCAUUUUGGUGAGGCUCUUUCCUGCCGUGGUCUAGGAGCCAAGGGGGACCUAUCAAUCAGUCAAUCAAUCAAUCAUAUUUAUUGAGCGCUUUUUCCAACUUCGGGCCUCAGAGACUUUGAAGCGACCCGGAAAACCUUUGGAAAAUGGUAAAGGCGGGGGAGGCAAAUUGUUGGUCAGAAGGUGUACGCGAAGCGAGGGAUAGGCUACUGAGAAACCAAAGUAGAGCUCCUCUUGUGAUUCUACCUGAAAGGCACCAAGCAUAUGGAUUACAUUAAUAGAAAAGUAAUUGAAUCAAAGAGCAAGAUACAGCAUUUUGAGAGACAUCUGGAGAAGAAGGAAAUUGAGGGAAACGGGGGAAAAUACCCACAGCCCCCAGAUCACGUCCAUCCCUUCGGGUCCAGUGUUCCCGGAGAGACCGACUACGCAGACGCAUCACCAGAGCAGUUAUUUAAAGAUUAUCCAAAGAAUCUUCCUCUUGGGCUGAACUCAUCUGUGUCUAGCUGUCCGCCAAAACCAGGAUCACAUGUUUAGCCAUCAGAUAUGUUUUGGCCCCAGAAGAAAUAAAAAUAACUACUAGCAUGGGUUUCUGCAACAAAA